UUGGACCUGAGGAUCUUGGAGGUCUUUUCCAACCUUAAUGAUUCAAUCUUGCUGCUGGGUGAAAGGCAGGUUGAAUGGGUGGCAUGGUCCUGUCUGACUGUGGUUAGCCUGGGGCUUGCAGAGAACCACAUCUAAGAGGGCUUAUGGCAAUGAGCACAUUACCCAUUUCACUGGGGGUUUUUUGUUUAUUUUGUUUGUUUGUUUAUUUGUUUUCCAGAGAGAAAGAGACAAAGAUGGGUUUAUUUCACCUCCAAACCAAAUACUUCAAAGAAAAAGAUCAUCCCUGCCAUUUUCCAGUGCCAUGCAAAAAGCAGAGAUACCGUUUUGGAGCCUGCAUCAUUUCAGAAGAAAAUGUGGAUAUAAGGCACACGUACUUGAUUAGGGUGUCUAAGAGAACAUGAAGAACUUCCUGCAGUCUGGACUUUCACUUCAGAGAAGCUGAAAAUUUGGAAGGUGCAUUUUUGUAUCCUAGGAUGAAAACUUGCAAGUAGAGCUGUGCCCAGUAUCUGUUGAUAUUCUGGAUUUUAUUGUGUUUAUAAUAAUCAGAUUGACAUCUAUGUUUUCAGUGACUACUUGGAUGAAAUAAAGAAUGAAGUUUUAGUGGCUCA
rnacentral:lncRNA from 1 species